rnacentral:rRNA from 1 species
GGUUUAAUUCGAAGCAACGCGAAGAACCUUACCAAAGUCUUGACAUCCCACUGACCGGACAGUAAUGUGUCCUUUCCUUCGGGACAGUGGUGACAGGUGGUGCAUGGUUGUCGUCAGCUCGUGUCGUGAGAUGUUGGGUUAAGUCCCGCAACGAGCGCAACCCCUAUCCUUAGUAGCCAGCAGUAAGAUGGGCACUCUAGGGAGACUGCCAGGGAUAACCUGGA